AACGAACGCUGGCGGCAUGCCUAACACAUGCAAGUCGAACGAUCCCUUCGGGGUUAGUGGCGUACGGGUGCGUAACGCGUGGGAACCUGCCCUUAGGUUCGGAAUAACUCAGAGACAUUUGAGCUAAUACCGGAUAAUGUCUUCGGACCAAAGAUUUAUCGCCUUUGGAUGGGCCCGCGUUGGAUUAGCUCGUUGGUUGGGUAAAGGCCUACCAAGGCGUGGAUCCAUAGCUGGUCUGAGAGGAUGGUCAGCGACACUGGGACUAAGACACGGCCCAGACUCCUACGGGAUGGGGGAGUGGGUGAUAGUGGACAGUGGGGGGAGGCCUGAUGCAGCAAUGCCGGGAGAGUGAUGAAGGCAUUAGGGUUGUAAAGCUCUUUUACCCGGGAUGAUAAUGACGGUACCGGGAGAGUAAGCCCCGGCUAACUCCGUG
rnacentral:rRNA from 1 species